UUUAACAUUACAUAACUCACAAUUUAGGUGGUUGUACCAAUUUUCUAAUUAUUCGUUUACAGGUAUAUUUAAAUAACUUGUCAUUACUUAAAUCUUCAAAACAUUUCGUUUACAAGUACAUUAAUAUAACCACUCAUUAUUUAAUUCUUCUAUUCACUUCGUUUACACGUAUAUUAAUAUAAGUAUCAUUACUCGGUUACAGUUUAAAUAGAAAAGACA